AGUGAACGCUGGCGGUAGGCCUAACACAUGCAAGUCGAACGGCAGCACAGGAGAGCUUGCUCUCUGGGUGGCGAGUGGCGGACGGGUGAGGAAUACAUCGGAAUCUACCUUUUCGUGGGGGAUAACGUAGGGAAACUUACGCUAAUACCGCAUACGACCUACGGGUGAAAGUGGGGGACCGCAAGGCCUCACGCGAUCAGAUGAGCCGAUGUCCGAUUAGCUAGUUGGCGGGGUAAUGGCCCACCAAGGCGACGAUAGGUAGCUGGUCUGAGAGGACGAUCAGCCACACUGGAACUGAGACACGGUCCAGACUCCUACGGGAGGCAGCAGUGGGGAAUAUUGGACAAUGGGCGAAAGCCUGAUCCAGCCAUACCACGUGGGUGAAGAAGGCCUUCGGGUUGUAAAGCCCUUUUGUUGGGAAAGAAAUCCUGUCGAUUAAUACUCGGUGGGGAUGACGGUACCCAAAGAAUAAGCACCGGCUAACUUCGUGCCAGCAGCCGCAGUAACAC
rnacentral:rRNA from 1 species